GAGGGCAGUGAGGCUCAGGGCUG
rnacentral:miRNA from 1 species